rnacentral:rRNA from 1 species
UACAGAGGGUGCAAGCGUUAAUCGGAGUUACUGGGCGUAAAGGGCGCGUAGGCGGAUAUUUAAGUCGGUUGUGAAAUCCCUGGGCUUAACCUAGGAAUUGCAUUCGAUACUGAAUAUUCUUGAGUAUGGUAGAGGAAAGUGGAAUUCUCGGUGUAGUGGUAAAAUACGUAGAUAUCGAGAAGAACACCGGUGGCGAAGGCGGCUUUCUGGACCAAUACUGACGCUGAUGCGCGAAAGCGUGGGGAGCAAACAGG